rnacentral:rRNA from 1 species
CCACUUCGGUGGCAGGAAGACAGGUGGUGCAUGGUUGUCGUCAGCUCGUGUCGUGAGAUGUUGGGUUAAGUCCCGCAACGAGCGCAACCCUUAUUGUUAGUUGCUACCAUUUAGUUGAGCACUCUAGCGAGACUGCCCGGGUUAACCGGGAGGAAGGUGGGGAUGACGUCAAAUCAUCAUGCCCCUUAUGUCUAGGGCUACACACGUGCUACAAUGGUCGGUACAAUGAGAUGCAACCUCGCGAGAGUGAGCAAAACUAUAAAACCGAUCUCAGUUCGGAUUGUAGGCUGAAACUCGCCUACAUGAAGCUGGAGUUGCUAGUAAUCGCGAAUCAGAAUGUCGCGGUGAAUACGUUCCCGGGCCUU